rnacentral:rRNA from 1 species
AUUGAACGCUGGCGGCAGGCCUAACACAUGCAAGUCGAACGAGUGGCGGACGGGUCAGUAUUGCCCGGGAAACUGCCCGAUGGCGGGGGAUAACUACUGGAAACGGUACCUAAUAUCGCAUACCACCAGAUGUCCCCAGAUGGGUUGAGCUAGGUGGUGGGGUAACGGCUAACCAGGCCGAGGAUCCCUAGCUGGUCUGCGAGGAUGACCAGCCACACUGGAACGGAGACACGGUCCAGAGUCCUACGGGAGGCAGCAGUGGGGAAUUGUGCACAAUGGGCGAAAGCCUGAUGCAGCCAGGCCGCGUGUAUGACGAAGGCCUUCGGGUUGUAAAGUACUUUCAGCGGGGAGGCGUUACCCGCAGAAGAAGCACCGGCUAACUCCGUGCCAGCAGCCGCGGUAAUAC